rnacentral:lncRNA from 1 species
AUUCGGGUUUCGCCCGUUGACUUGGGUUUGGGUUCGGGUGGGUCUCACGGGUUUGGGUUUUUCUGCCAUCCCUACCUAAGUUAAUAGCAUACAACUGCAUCAUGAAAGUGUCUACAAAUAUGACAAAAUAAAAGUAACCGGAAUAUUCAUACUCCCGAAUCUGAAACGUUGACGUCCAAGUCUUCAUCAGAUAUGUAAUGAGUUGAUGUAGAUAUAUCAAUUUGAAUCAACGAAACACCGUACUAAAAUAAAAAAUCAACAAACGCCGCACAAAACGACGAUAAACACAACGCCGCACAAGACGACCACAAACAAACGCCGCACAAAACGACCACAAACUUAAAAAGCAAAAAACAAAGAAGCAAAUCUACGUGAAUAAUCACUUAUUUAAAUGAAAAGAAAAAGAAAAGCAAUUUAGAGGGGUGAUUUUAGGAUCAAAUCCUUGGUGGAUUUUUUUUUUGAUAACCAAACAAUAUAUUAUAAAGGAGUACAAAGGGGUACUCAAUCACUCACAAUAUAAAAGCAAAUUAUAGUAUGCUUUGAAGACAUACAAUAGGAUCUAAACACCAUUCAAAAAAAGAAAAAGAUGACUUACGGCCAAAACGACCCCUAAACCAAAACCAAGAAAAAGUUUUAAUAUCAUCUCAAUAAACCAAAUCCUUAGUGGAUGAACAAAAAGAAUAAACUAGGGUUUAGGAGAGGGACGACCGCCGUUUGAGAAGAAGAACUUGUGCUUUAAAUAUUUGUAAAUUUGUCAUUAGAACAUAUCACCACCACCACCAUAUAGGAGGAUAUAGGUUGUGAAUUAACUAAUGUCGUCCACCAUAGCGUCUCUGUCGAUUUUGAAAUGAACUUAAAGCCUCUACAAAUUCAUCCUUCCCAAAAUCAGGCCAAAGUUUUUGAUUAAAGAAAAAUUCUGUAUAUGCCAAUUGCCAUAAUAAGAAAUUACUAACUCUAAGUUCUCCACU